rnacentral:rRNA from 1 species
CAGGAUGAACGCUAGCUACAGGCUUAACACAUGCAAGUCGAGGGGCAGCAUUGGAGUAGCAAUACUCAGAUGGCGACCGGCGCACGGGUGAGUAACACGUAUCCAACCUGCCGCUUACUCGGGGAUAGCCUUUCGAAAGAAAGAUUAAUACCCGAUGGUAUAAAGAGUUCGCAUGUUCUCUUUAUUAAAGAAUUUCGGUAAGCGAUGGGGAUGCGUUCCAUUAGAUAGUUGGCGGGGUAACGGCCCACCAAGUCUACGAUGGAUAGGGGUUCUGAGAGGAAGGUCCCCCACAUUGGAACUGAGACACGGUCCAAACUCCUACGGGAGGCAGCAGUGAGGAAUAUUGGUCAAUGGACGAGAGUCUGAACCAGCCAAGUAGCGUGAAGGAUGACUGCCCUAUGGGUUGUAAACUUCUUUUAUAAGGGAAUAAAGUGAGGGACGUGUCCCUUUUUGUAUGUACCUUAUGAAUAAGGAUCGGCUAACUCCGUGCCAGCAGCUGC